rnacentral:rRNA from 1 species
ACCAGUACCGUGAGGGAAAGGCGAAAAGAACCCCGGCGAGGGGAGUGAAAAAGAACCUGAAACCGUGUACGUACAAGCAGUGGGAGCCUCUUUAUGGGGUGACUGCGUACCUUUUGUAUAAUGGGUCAGCGACUUAUAUUCUGUAGCAAGGUUAACCGAAUAGGGGAGCCGAAGGGAAACCGAGUCUUAACUGGGCGUUAAGUUGCAGGGUAUAGACCCGAAACCCGGUGAUCUAGCCAUGGGCAGGUUGAAGGUUGGGUAACACUAACUGGAGGACCGAACCGACUAAUGUUGAAAAAUUAGCGGAUGACUUGUGGCUGGGGGUGAAAGGCCAAUCAAACCGGGAGAUAGCUGGUUCUCCCCGAAAGCUAUUUAGGUAGCGCCUCGUGAACUCAUCUCCGGGGGUAGAGCACUGUUUCGGCAAGGGGGUCAUCCCGACUUACCAACCCGAUGCAAACUGCGAAUACCGGAGAAUGUUAUCACGGGAGACACACGGCGGGUGCUAACGUCCGUCGUGAAGAGGGAAACAACCCAGACCGCCAGCUAAGGUCCCAAAGUCAUGGUUAAGUGGGAAACGAUGUGGGAAGGCCCAGACAGCCAGGAUGUUGGCUUAGAAGCAGCCAUCAUUUAAAGAAAGCGUAAUAGCUCACUGGUCGAGUCGGCCUGCGCGGAAGAUGUAACGGGGCUAAACCAUGCACCGAAGCUGCGGCAGCGACGCUUAUGCGUUGUUGGGUAGGGGAGCGUUCUGUAAGCCUGUGAAGGUGUGCUGUGAGGCAUGCUGGAGGUAUCAGAAGUGCGAAUGCUGACAUAAGUAACGAUAAAGCGGGUGAAAAGCCCGCUCGCCGGAAGACCAAGGGUUCCUGUCCAACGUUAAUCGGGGCAGGGUGAGUCGACCCCUAAGGCGAGGCCGAAAGGCGUAGUCGAUGGGAAACAGGUUAAUAUUCCUGUACUUGGUGUUACUGCGAAGGGGGGACGGAGAAGGCUAUGUUGGCCGGGCGACGGUUGUCCCGGUUUAAGCGUGUAGGCUGGUUUUCCAGGCAAAUCCGGAAAAUCAAGGCUGAGGCGUGAUGACGAGGCACUACGGUGCUGAAGCAACAAAUGCCCUGCUUCCAGGAAAAGCCUCUAAGCAUCAGGUAACAUCAAAUCGUACCCCAAACCGACACAGGUGGUCAGGUAGAGAAUACCAAGGCGCUUGAGAGAACUCGGGUGAAGGAACUAGGCAAAAUGGUGCCGUAACUUCGGGAGAAGGCACGCUGAUAUGUAGGUGAAGUCCCUCGCGGAUGGAGCUGAAAUCAGUCGAAGAUACCAGCUGGCUGCAACUGUUUAUUAAAAACACAGCACUGUGCAAACACGAAAGUGGACGUAUACGGUGUGACGCCUGCCCGGUGCCGGAAGGUUAAUUGAUGGGGUCAGCGCAAGCGAAGCUCUUGAUCGAAGCCCCGGUAAACGGCGGCCGUAACUAUAACGGUCCUAAGGUAGCGAAAUUCCUUGUCGGGUAAGUUCCGACCUGCACGAAUGGCGUAAUGAUGGCCAGGCUGUCUCCACCCGAGACUCAGUGAAAUUGAACUCGCUGUGAAGAUGCAGUGUACCCGCGGCAAGACGGAAAGACCCCGUGAACCUUUACUAUAGCUUGACACUGAACAUUGAGCCUUGAUGUGUAGGAUAGGUGGGAGGCUUAGAAGUGUGGACGCCAGUCUGCAUGGAGCCGACCUUGAAAUACCACCCUUUAAUGUUUGAUGUUCUAACGUUGACCCGUAAUCCGGGUUGCGGACAGUGUCUGGUGGGUAGUUUGACUGGGGCGGUCUCCUCCUAAAGAGUAACGGAGGAGCACGAAGGUUGGCUAAUCCUGGUCGGACAUCAGGAGGUUAGUGCAAUGGCAUAAGCCAGCUUGACUGCGAGCGUGACGGCGCGAGCAGGUGCGAAAGCAGGUCAUAGUGAUCCGGUGGUUCUGAAUGGAAGGGCCAUCGCUCAACGGAUAAAAGGUACUCCGGGGAUAACAGGCUGAUACCGCCCAAGAGUUCAUAUCGACGGCGGUGUUUGGCACCUCGAUGUCGGCUCAUCACAUCCUGGGGCUGAAGUAGGUCCCAAGGGUAUGGCUGUUCGCCAUUUAAAGUGGUACGCGAGCUGGGUUUAGAACGUCGUGAGACAGUUCGGUCCCUAUCUGCCGUGGGCGCUGGAGAACUGAGGGGGGCUGCUCCUAGUACGAGAGGACCGGAGUGGACGCAUCACUGGUGUUCGGGUUGUCAUGCCAAUGGCACUGCCCGGUAGCUAAAUGCGGAAGAGAUAAGUGCUGAAAGCAUCUAAGCACGAAACUUGCCCCGAGAUGAGUUCUCCCUGACUCCUUGAG